AGUGUGCGUGUGUUAGUGUUAGAGUGUGUGUGUUAGUGUGUGUGUGUUAAUGUUAGUGUGUGUAUGUGUUAGUGUGUUAGAGUGUUAGUCUGUGUGUUAGUGUGUGUGUGUGUUAGAGUGUCAGUGAGUGUGUUACUGUGUGUGUCUGUUACUGAGUGUGUUAGAUUGUGUGCGUCUGUAAGUGAGUGUGUAUGUGUAUGUGUCUGUCUG